GCCGAAGUGGCAACGCGUGGCAUCGCCACCAGACCCCGCGUGCGUGUGCAAGAUCACUUUGAAUUCGCGGACGCGCGCCACCCGUGUUAGUGCAACCUGUGUCUUGUGGAAGAGCAUCUGCGCCCCGUGCUGAGCUCAGGAUUGAUGAGAGACUGCGUUGGAGGACCGCAUGCCACUCACCAUAAAGUCUCUCCAGAGCUCUUCAGACCUUCCAGAUCCUGUCUGUCCAUCUGGCAGAGUUUGCCCAAAUGACUGCCCUAGUGAAUAU